rnacentral:misc_RNA from 1 species
AGGAAAUUGACACACUGUUUAUGAAAUGGAUGUUAUUAGUUGGUUUUAAGCUAAGACUGUCAUACUAUUUCUUGUGCAAUAUUUAGAUAGUUUACAUACUUGAUUCAUCUUGGGAAGGGACAGUUAACCUAUAAAUAUGUGGAGAGUGCUACAAGACAAGAAUGAGGCCAGUCCUUAUCUCCUCCCCCAACCAUAACAAGGGAGUGCACUCCAUUCAACUGAUAGAGGUCCCACCCACCCCCGAGGGACAUCGAAGUCUGAGGUACUCACUGGAGGGGCGUGACUGCCAGCAAAGUCCACAGGUCCCCGAGAGCUCUGGUACUGUUCCACACUUACAGAUUUCAGAACUUGACACCAGCUUGAGUCCAGGACUGGAUGUUCUGAGUGUUGGAGAUAAGAUCCUGGAAGUGAAUGGCAUGCCAGUAAAAGAGAGCUCUCCCGAAGAGAUUGAUCAGAUAUUACAAAAUACCAAGGAGACUCUACAUCUGACACUAGAAAGGGGAGCGUCCCCUUCUGUACCCAGGAGGCUGACCGAAUCCCAGGGUGACAGUUUCUACCUAAGUCCUGAUGAUUCACCUGUCUUAAAUGUUGAAAGUCUGUCAACAGAGAGAAUCAUCAAUGGAGUCAGUGUGAAAAUCAGAGCCAAAAGGGAUCAAAUGAAUAAGAACCCAUCAAGGAGAAGGAGCAAGUCUCCCUCCCCGCUGCCGUCGCGGACCAAGUGUGUGGACCUCACUCGAGCAUCCUCCUUUAAGACUCAGCCCACUUCCCAUCGAGUGUUCCGGGCCACUGAUCUUCUUCAUGGAGAGGUGCUGGGGAAAGGGUUCUUUGGUCAGGCUGUGAAGGUGACACACAGGGUGACCGGGGAAGUCAUGGUUCUGAAGGAAAUGUACCGAUUUGAUGAGGAAGUCCAGAAAAGCUUCCUCAAAGAGGUCUCUGUGUUAAGAAGUGUCAACCAUCCACAUGUGCUGCGUUUUAUGGGAGUUUUAUAUAAAGACAAAAAACUGAAUCUGGUCACAGAAUAUGUGUCUGGUGGUACUUUGGGGGAGCUGCUAAAGGACGACUCCAUUUCCUUAUCCUGGAAGCAGAGAGCCGUUUUUGCAAAAGGCAUAUCAGAAGGAAUGGAAUAUCUGCAUUCUCUGGGAAUCAUUCACAGAGACCUCAAUUCCAAUAAUUGUUUCGUCAAAAAUGACAUGACUGUGGUUGUUGCUGACUUCGGAUUAGCACGAGUCUUGCCUGACCAAUACCACUAUCCUGAUCAGGUUAAAUCAGGGAAAACUAAACGUCGCUAUCAGCGCAAGAAGCGAUAUACCGUAGUGGGUAGUCCUUAUUGGAUGGCUCCGGAGAUGUUGAAGGGCAAAAGUUAUGAUGAAAAAGUGGAUCUUUUUUCCUAUGGAAUCAUUGUUUGUGAGAUGCUUGCGAGAGUGGAAGCAGAUCCAGACAUUUUACCCAGAACAAUAACCUUUGAAUUAGAUGUUAAACUCUUCUUCCAAAAAUUUUGCUCAGAAAAAGACUUCCCUCUUCCUUUCUUCAAGAUUGCAAUCAUGUGUUGUCAAGUUACUCCAGAAAACAGGCCAAGCUUUGACAGAGUGAGCAUAUGGACAGAGAGUCUGUUAGUGAACCUAGAGCAUGGUGGGACACUGCCCCCAGAGCUACAAGGGGAUCCAAUUGAAUAUUAUUAUGCCGUCAGAGAAGGCAGAGCACCAGAUAGUAGGUCUCAGUGCGAGAGUAGGUCUCGUAAAUCAUUGGACACAAUCACGGAACAGAACAGGGAGUCUUUGAAUAGACAGGCCCUGCCUAAAAAGUGUGUGAUUGAAAAUAUCACGGAGAAAUCCAGUCAGUCAUUCGUUAGAGACCGAAGCUAUAGUGAUAAUUCGGUGUCCAAAUCUUGUGAUCUUUUGUCAGUGGCCUGCUCCAACAUUGAGGAGUCUCUGAGUGACGUUGAUUCUCCUGUGGAUGGUGUGUCCACCAUUUUAGAUAAACUGAAUUUCCAGGAAUGCACUAGUGACAUGGAGCUCUCCUCCACGUUUGGGGAUACUAAAUUUUCUCUUCCAGUGAACAUGACCUCUUUGAGUGACACUGAAAUUGACAGUCCUAAUGAUCAAGUUCUAAAACGCAGAAAACAAAACCCUCCAGAUUACCUAACCAGCAAUCAUACAGACAAUGAGCAAAUAUUUGACAUUGAUGAUAAAAAUUUUACGGAAAACAAUCUGAUCACUUCCAAUCGCAGAAAUUGUUUAAUCAGUGAUAUGCAGACAGCUUUGUUUGAAAAUAAACCACAAAUUGAGGUGACACACUCUGGAAGUGAAGGCAGAUUAAGACCAUAUUAACAUUCUCUAUACUGUUGAUACCCAGAAGAUACCAAAGUCCUAUUUCUAUGCUUUUUAUUUGCUUUUAGAGAAACCUGUCAACAUGAUGUAUUUUUGAUGUUGUAAGAUUUUUAUGAUGUUACUUGUAAGUGGUUAAAAGGUGAUAUCUUAUAUUUCAAGGUCUGUAUUUUCAGAGAACUUGCCAUAAGAAAUUAUAUAAUAUGUGAACAACCAUACCAUGUGUUAUUUGAUGAAAGAAGAAAACUAGAUCUCUCAAAAUGAUUGUAAAUUUCAUACAUGCAUGUUGAUCUUGUCAUCAUAACUAUAACCAGUUUUAUGAAUUAAAAGAAAACUUUGAUGU